UCUGUCACCAGCCAGGAAGGACAUGAACCUUUCUCUCCCUCAGGGCCAUCCAUUCUAGAGGGCAGAGAGUUGGCCUCAUUUCUGAGAUAACUUAGGGGACAGAAGUUCACUACCCUGAGCCCAUUGUGAGGCCAUCCUCACAGCCGUGACUCCUUAUAUUUCUACUGCUGGGUUGGGACCUUGGCUUGUCAAGACUAAGUAGUCAGCCCCCACCACCCCAAAAACAAAACCAAGCAAAGACCACAUACAGAUUCCAUUUAUAGGAAAUGUCCCAAAUAGGCAAAUCUAUAAAGACAGAAAGUAGAUGAGUGGUUGCCUAGGGCUGAGGAGACUGAGGAUGACUGCUAAGGGGCAUAGGGGUUUUUUUGGGGGGAGGUGUCAAAAAUGUUCCAAAAUUGUAAUAGUUGCACAAUUCUGUAAAUUUACUAAAAAACACUGUAUACCUUAAAUGGGUAAACUGUAUAGUUAAGUGAACUGUAUCUCAAUAAAACAAAAACAAAACCCAAAAA
rnacentral:lncRNA from 10 species